CCCGGCUGCUUCUUGGACGUUUCCUCCCUAGACUUGGGCCGUGCCGGGUGCACGGCCUUUUUUUUGCUCUCAC
rnacentral:sRNA from 1 species